CUACGGGUGGCUCCAGUGGGGAACAUUGGACAAUGGGGGAAACCCUGAUCCAGCAAUGCCGCGUGUGUGAAGAAGGCCUGCGGGUUGUAAAGCACUUUCGGUUGGGAGGACUGCUUCUAGCACUAAUAUUGUUGGAAGUUGACGUUACCUUCAGAAGAAGCACCGGCUAACUCCGUGCCAGCAGCCGCGGUAAUACGGAGGGUGCAAACGUUAAUCGGAAUUACUGGGCGUAAAGCGCGCGUAGGCGGCUAGAUCAGUCGGGUGUGAAAGCCCCGGGCUUAACCUGGGAACUGCAUCCGAUACUGUCUAGCUUGAGUACAGGAGAGGAGAGUGGAAUUCCACAUGUAGCGGUGAAAUGCGUAGAUAUGUGGAGGAACACCAAUGGCGAAGGCAGCUCUCUGGCCUGAUACUGACGCUGAGGUGCGAAAGCGUGGGGAGCAAACAGGAUUAGAUACCCGCGUAGUC
rnacentral:rRNA from 1 species